GACGAACGCUGGCGGCGUGCUUAACACAUGCAAGUCGAACGGAAAGGCCCCUUUUGGGGUGCUCGAGUGGCGCACGGGUGAGUAACACGUGAGUAACCUGCCCUUGACUUCGGGAUAACUUCAGGAAACUGGGGCUCAUACCGGGUAGGAAUCCUUGCUGCAUGGUGGGGGUUGGAAAGCUUCGGCGGUUUUGGGUGGACUCGCGGGUUAUCAGCUUGUUGGUGGGGUAGUGGCUUACCAAGGCUUUGCCGGGUAGCCGGGCUGGGAGGGCGACCGGCCACAUUUGGACUGGGGUAAGGCCCAGACGCCUACGGGAGGCAGCAGGGGGGAAAAAUGCACAAUGGGGGGAAGCCCGAUGCAGGCGCGGCGGGGGCGGGAAUACGGGCUUCGGGUUGUAAACCGCUUUCAGCAGGGGCGAAGGUGAUGGUGACGGUACCUGCAGAAGAAGCACCGGCUAACUACGUG
rnacentral:rRNA from 1 species